CAGUAAUGAACUAUACCUUUCAAUACACAUCCAGGUUGUCUAUAUUACUUUUUUGUUUUCUUUUCUUGUUUUUUUUUUUAUAAAUCAAUAUGCAAAUGGGCUAUUGGUCAGUUAUUGCCCUAAACAUGCCCCAUUUUCAUUCCUAUAAUAUUACAGUCUGUGAAAUCAAGUAUUUUGCAUUUUGGGUAAAUACAUCAGGUCCUACUCACAACUGCCCCUAUGGGUGGAUACGGGGCAUCUGCAGGUGAAAAAUGAGCAAACCUGUGCUGGGAAAGCAGGGAGCCUGCAGAAAAUAUCAAAUGUACAAGCCCACAGAGUGAACUUGUUAAUGCACCAUUUUUUCUAUGGGUAUGCUGUGAGCAAUAGGUCAAUUCAAUUUAAUCCAAUUAUACUUUUUUAAUCCCACGAAGGGAAAUUUAAGAAACAUCUUAUGGUCACAUUAAGACACAUAGGUAAGCAAAUCAGAUGCAUUGGUGUUGGAUGGAUUUUUCCUUCUGCACAAUCUGACUGUUUGAAAUAAUGCAAUUAGACAUUUAGAGUGUGGUCUGCAUGGGUAUUCUACAGGCCCCUCCGAAUCUCCUGCACACCUCAUACAUGCAGCACUUGCGUCCGAUCAGUAAGGAGCCUUUUCUCACACCUUACUAAAGAUUAGAGUGCACCAUAAGGACACCGGGGCAUUGUCAUAAGUUUGUGCAAUUUACAUGACCCUUAUGAAUGCUUCAUAAUACCGUUUCUACACGCACGAAAAUGGUACGUUCCAUACUCAGCUGUGCUCCCUUUAAGAUGCAACCCCUCCUGUCUACGACCCUCCACUGACCAGGGCAACCCAAAAACCUGCAGCACCUAUACUGGUAAACCCCUGUCAUGCAUGUGACUAAGGCAUAAAGAUAACCUUGGUUGUGAAUUGGUUCUGCAUGACUAAAGUAAAUUUAAGUAAAUAAAAAAAAAUCCUUUUAAUACAUUUUGACCAGAAAAUCUUACAGGGAUUUCAGUACAGACCAUUUCACACUGAGUCAAACAAGUUAACAUUUGUUUUAAUUCAGUAAAAAAAAGUCUAAUAGAAAUUGAAGUUUUUGCUGAUGGCUGUGCCAUCUUAAAAGUAAUUAAAAUGGAGACUCAAGAAUUGAACUACCAAGACAUUUUUAAAUCUGUCUCUUUAAUUUAAUAAAAACAGGUAGUCAUUGUAGAGGAAAGGACUCAUGUCUUUCUUCAACCUCAGAAGAAGAGGCAGAUUGUCUGCUUGUUUGCAUUUAAUGAAGUCUAAGCCUCCUGCUAAGUGGCACAAACUGAACUUAGUGCAUUUUACACGAUAGAUGCAUAAAAAGAGAAUAUACAUAAGUGAUUGUUUACUUUUAGAUGUUGCUUUUUGUAGUUUUUGUUUUGCAAAGCAUAAGCAGAGUUGCACAUUUCCAGCAGGCUCUUGCUAGUUAACGAGAAGGAUCUCCAUGUGAAUCAGUGGUUUACAAAUGUUUUGUAAUUAGCAGCACACAACAAGUAUGUCUGCUACUUUAAGAGUCUGCUGCUGUGUAAAAUGCAGUUUGUAAUUUAAUUGUACUCAAUGUGAUGAGAAGCAAAGGGUUCUUUUUUAUUUUCUUUUGCAAAUCCCAAGACUCAAAGUUGCAGUUCAAAUCAGGUUUCAGUGAAUAUGAAAAUGCAUGAUCACAGAAAGCCACCAGGAAAAGAGCAAAGAGUAGUUCAUGAUGAUACAACCUGUGUGCAAUAAUAUGUCUGCACUGCCAAGAAAAAGAAAACAGACUCCAUUUUCUAGACUGCCGUGUCUUCAGCUUUACAUAAUAUUUGAAUGAGCAUUAUUUAAGUCCCAAACUUUAAACUCAAAUCAAGUUUCAAGUUCCCGCUAUAUUUGUUUAGUUUUUCAUUAAAGGUCUGUUCUCAACAGACUUCAUCUCAAAGCACUGCACCAACAAUCCAA